GACUCUCGCUGCGUACAAAUCGGCGUUCUACUUGCGGGCCCUUUUUUGACAUCAGUGACGGCUGAAAAUCAUUUCAAGGUGGCAUUUCAACGGAACCCAGCACCUGAAUAUGGCUGAGUGUCUGCCUCCUCACCCAGAGCAAGACCUCCACCUCCUCACCCAGAGCCAGACCUCCACCUCCUGUCAGAAGUCCUCCAGAUCAGUGCUCUGGUGAGGCUGAGAGGCUGGGGACCGGAGGCUUGUGGUGCCAGGAUGGACCAGAGACUGAGGCUGGAGACCAGGGGCCUGCAGCACCGGACCGGAGG
ensembl:lncRNA